CUGAUUCUUUUCUGGUAAAGACAUGGUACAGUAAAGUGAAUACAUUUAGCUUUAAUGAACAAAUGUGCAUGCAGAGCAGUUACUUAUAAAACUUAGAAAGGAAAAUAUUCCCUUAAGCGCCGUGUGAAACUCCAUUACUCUGUUGCAUCAUUAAUGAAUGAUUUCUGCUUGGAAUUUACAUAAAUCAAAGGAACCGGAGCUCCUCUGUGCUCCCCGUUCAGUAUAACCUCUGAAUACACAUGCAUAUUUCAUGCUUACUAAAAGAUUAACAGGAACAUUUGUAAAGAUCGAUUUAAAACAUGGCGCCUUCUGGUAUUUUUAGUGCAAUUCAUGAACAUGAGCAAAGACGUAACACGUGAAAAGAAGAACGAGUGCAGAGCAUGGUGUGUUUCGGCUCAAACCUGCAGGGGCAGGGUAUACUUUUAUUUAAACAUAGGUCAAGUCAGAACCUCCUGGUAGAGGCAACCAGGUUUUGAGCUGAAAUAUCCUUCUAGGUGAGAACUCAUGAGGCAAUAAAGCUUCACAAGAAUCUGAACCAGAACCUCCAGCUACAAAACAGCCCCAACGUAUCAAUCUUACACCUCCGUAUUUUACAGUGGAGUAUCAGAUGCUUUGCCUUGUACGCAGUCCCCUCUUUACACCGAUGGUGAGUAUGACGAAUUUGUAAAAAAAACAAUAGUCUCAUCUGACCACAGCAAUGAUAUCAGCGAUAGUUCUAACGACACCUGAAGUUCUCUGUGACAUUCUCACAGGAAAGUCUUCUUUCUUCCAAACAGCCACUAAAAUCGACUACAUUUUGAAACUGUGAUUUAUAGACUCCUUUUUCCUUCCUUCACCACCACCGUGCUGCUCGCUCCAAACACCAAAUUUCAGAUGUUUCCGAAAGAUGACACUUUUUUUUUUUUUUUUUUUUUUUUUUCUCUCUGUGGCUGUAAAUGUGCUUCCUGGUAUUUUAAACUGGCUGUGUAGUUUU
ensembl:lncRNA